rnacentral:lncRNA from 1 species
GGACUGGUGUGCACACAGGUGUCCAUGUGCCUGUAUGUAUGCAGGUGUGUGUGUGACACACACAUACAUGUGAUAUACGCAGGCGUGUGAGAUACACAUACAUGUGACAUAUGCAGGCGUGUGACAUACAUACCUGUGGUGUAUGCAGGCGUGUGAGAUACACAUACAUGUGACGUAUGCAGGCAUGUGACAUACAUACCUGUGGUCCACACCUGUCUGCACACGCCUCCUGUUACUGAUGGUUAACUCAGUGGCUGGCACACUCACCACCUUCUCACUGUGGCUGGCAACAAGCUGCUGUUCUGCACCAGGACCUCCUCUCAGGCUCCCAGCAAAGGAGGCCGGCAGCUUUGACACGAGGGUCCGGGAGCCGUGGCUCCUCCAGGUUAGUGGUGCACACAGCGCUUGCCACACCGCCCACUGCCUCACUCCGUGCUGUGCCUGGUGCUGCGUGGGUCCUGAGGCUCCUGCUCCUGACCCUGGUGCCGCUGGGACAGAGUCCAGGUGGGAGGGCAGUGUGUGGUGUGUGUGUGGCCAGUCCCCAGGGACAGGACGCCCGAG